UACGGGGGGGGCAAGCGUUGUUCGGAAUUACUGGGCGUAAAGGGCUCGUAGGCGGCCAACUAAGUCAGACGUGAAAUCCCUCGGCUUAACCGGGGAACUGCGUCUGAUACUGGUUGGCUUGAAUCCGGGAGAGGGAUGUGGAAUUCCAGGUGUAGCGGUGAAAUGCGUAGAGAUGUGGAGGAACACCGAUGGCGAAGGCAGCCCCCUGGGCUGAGAUUGACGCUCAGGCACGAAAGCGUGGGGAGCAAACAGG
rnacentral:rRNA from 1 species